AGUCAUAUCACAUUGAUACACCGGUUCUUGUACGCUCAGUGAAGUUAAGCAACGUUGAACUUGGUUAGUACCUAGAUGGGUGACGCUUGGGCAUACCAGGUGUUGUAAG